ACCUUCAAGUUAUUUCCCUCCUCUAGAAUGCUGUACUUCCACCACUGCCAAAUCGUGAACUUUCUCUCCUUCAAUAUCCCACUGAGAACUCACCCCCAGGAUGGGACUCUGCUCACCCCGUCCUCUACUCAAGCAGAAGCCUCUCAGCGAUCAUAGGGCAAGGCCUGAACACAAGCUUCUGUUGGUGUAAAGUGGAGGCACAGGCUGCAGGACUGUCUCAGAAGGGAAAUAAUAUUUACCUUCCAAACUGAGAUCUAAAACCCGAACAAAGCCUCAGGAAACAUACUCCACCACCAUCUUACAAGUUUGUGCUACGGGUGGAGGGAAAAUGAAUCUAAUGUAGGAGGCCUCCCGCUGUGCGUCUAGCAGGAAAGACCAUACGGUGCAAGUCUCCAGGAUCACUAGAGGGGUGGAUUGUUCAUUUCAGUCCAGGUAGCAACAGGAAGCCCGUGCAAAUGUUCCUCUCUCACUGCGGGGCUAAGGAGUGUGGGUCCUUUCCCGCGACUACCUGCUUGCCUCUCUCAGAACCUGCAAGUGAAGUGCGGAAGAUCUGUCUAUCUUCUCGGCGGCGCAGAGCCCAAGGUAGAAACCGAUGGAGGCGGUGCACUAGAUAACAUCAAAGCCCCGGGCAGGGGCCAGAAAGGGGGGCACAGGCAGCCCGGGGAAUGAAGCGCCUCCCUCUAGCAUUUCCUCUCACGCCCACUUCCAACCUAGGAGGCUUUUGGUUUCUGCUUUUUUGUUUUUAAAAUUAAAAGUUAAACCCAG
rnacentral:lncRNA from 1 species